rnacentral:misc_RNA from 1 species
CCAAUAGCGUAUAUUAAAGUUGCUGCAGUUAAAAAGCUCGUAGUUGAAUUUCGGGACUAAUAUGUCGGUCGUGCCUCGGUACGUACUGGUAUUUUUGGUUUCUCCCUUCUGACGAUCCUUGAUGUCAUUAAUUUGGUGUCUUGGGAAAUCAGGACUGUUACUUUGAAAAAAUUCGAGUGUUUAAAGCAGGCUCACGCUUGAAUACAUUAGCAUGGAAUAAUUUAAUAGGACGUUUGAUUCUAGUUUGUUGGUUUCUAGGAUCGACGUAAUGAUUAAUAGGGAUAGUUGGGGGCAUUAGUAUUCAAUUGUCAGAGGUGAAAUGCUUGGAUUUAUUGAAGACUAGCUACUGCGAAAGCAUUUGCCAAGGAUUUUUUCAUUAAUCAAGAACGAAAGUUAGGGGAUCGAAGACGAUCAGAUACCGUCGUAGUCUUAACCAUAAACUAUGCCGACUAGGGAUCGGAUGAUGUUAAUUUUUUAAUGACUCAUUCGGCGCCUUACG